rnacentral:rRNA from 1 species
UGUGUAAGCGCUGUGAGGCGUUGAGCUAACCAAUACUAAUUGCCCGUGAGGCUUGACCAUAUAACACCCAAACA